CCUGGGUUUUCGACUUUGUAGGGCACAAGCUGAAGGCGCUCGGAAGGCUCAAAACAUGAAAGAUGCGGCACUGGGUGAACCACAGCGUUUAUCUCAGUCCUUGAACAUGGGGUUCUGUUGGCUGCGGGCUUUGCUUCCUGAUGCUUGGACCGUCUCCUGCCCACCGCUCCCAGCCCCGGUGGAAGGUUCCCACCUGUUUAUUCACCAGCACACUUGAGCAGGGCCCUCUGGCUGCUCCAUCAGCUCUCACUGCAACGUGUCCUCAUUUUUGGUGGAGGCCGUUGGAGCGGGAGGGACACGGACAGGUGCCGGCUCCCAUCCUGAGUGUCACCGGGACCCCAGGUUAUUUAUUCUGACACUCGAUGCACUGGGCAUUUUACAGACUGGUUCUCUUCUUCACAAACUCUGAACUAUCUGUCCUUCUACCUGACAGCGGAGGAAACUGAACUUGGCCUACCCGCACCCCCCACCCUGGACGGCUCACGCCUCGUUUCUCCCUGAGCCCCCAGCCGCCGAGGCUGAAGCCCCCUGCCCUCCCCCUCGCUGGCCCCCCCACCUGCCUCCACCUGGAUUAAGACCCGCACCAGGUGGCAAGCAGACACCUCGGGAGCCGUGGAGCCGCCAGAGCCAGGGCCUGGCCCCAGCUUGCCCGUCGCCCAGCCGUGUGCUCCCGGGCAGGGCCGGCCUGGGAGGGUGAGGCCUGCCUGCGUGGAUUUGGGGUGUGAGGCAGGGUGAGUCACAAGGGAUAGGGGACACAGCCCCAACAGUCUCUGAGGCUACAGUUCUGGUUGCUUCAGUUCUCUAAGCCCGGCUUUCCACCCCUGCAGACAGGGAUAAUCAUAUAUUUCUUUGGUCCUCUCCUGGGGAGGCUGCAAGUGAGAUGUUGUAAAUAAAGGGCUUUGGGGCCGUAAAGGACCCAGGUGGAAUUUGGGGACUGGUAAGGGGAGCCUCGGGGACUCCCCUGUCCCUGGUAGAAUGCAUCUGGGGGUCGGAGACGCCCUUCCGGCUUCAACAACCUGUGUGAUCCUCGACCCUCGGAGCUGCAGGAACCCCCCAACCAGCCUGCCCAGGACUGUGCAGCAUGCGGCAGACAGGGGCUCUCGGCUUAGGAGGGGCCCUGGCAGUCAUUGCCUGCCGUCCCCUCACUUUGCAGACGACCCCGGGCGGCUCAGUGACUGCCUUCCGCUCGGGCAGCCAGUGGGUGGAAGGCCUGGGACGUGGAAGCAGGGACAACGUGAGCAAAGUGGAUAUCGGGAGCAAAUCAGGAAACCAAGGGGGACAGACGACUUCUCUUUGUGGCAACCUGACGUCCAGACUUCACCCCCAGCAUCUUAACUGGUCUUCAGUUCACAGACAAGCCCCAUGUCUGUGGUUUGCCCGGCUGUGUAAAUGCCAGGCUUGGAGUAAGCAGAAGGCUUUCGGCCCAGCUCCCAAAGUAGGGGGUAAAGGGUGCACGAGGGUGAAAAGCCUCUGGGGACUCCUUCCCGCUGGUUUGCAUAAGUCUUGGCUUUUCAGACUUGCACCUUGGCGACUGUGGGCAGGGGUGGCUGCUUAUGUAAUCUCUGUAACUGGCAGGAGAGAAGCCAGCUCCAGCCUGGUGGAUCGGAAAGCUUCCCGCAUGGGAAGUUCUCAGGCAUCCUUGGCAAACUCCCUGGCAGCCGAGCCUACUGGCUGUCACCCCAGAAGCAAGAGGAGGGAGAAAAGCCAGUGUUUGCAGGGGUGGGAGGGGAGCGCAUUCCCGGGAGACGGCAGUGUCCUCCAAAAAAGCCAGGCAAACGCACUGGGUGAAAGUUGGGUUUGUCUUCUUAGCAUGAAUCAGCACAGAAGCAAUAAAGGUGCAAAGUCCACCUGUGAAAUGGUGAGGGGCCAAAAGCCCAACAAGGAUAACCAAAAACGGAGCAGCCCCCAUCAUUCAACCUCAGGCUGCGGAGGCUGGGGGACCCCUUUGUGUCACCUGUGACGCAGCCUGGGAGAUGACGUGCAAAUCCCACCUCUGCCAGGUGCAGCUCUGUGACCUGGGGCAAGUAAUUCAACCACUGUGCCCUUGAGCCUUCGGUAAAGCUACUCCCCACCAUCUUGCAGUGAGGUGUCCGGGGGAUUCAAGGCCUUGGCGGCAGGUGCAGCCUCUGGCAGUUGCCGGGGCGGGGGAGGGGCUCCCAGGAAGCAGUGAUUUCUGGUCAUUUCUUCAGGUUUUCUCUUGUUCUUUCUUCUUAUGUCAGGAAACAGAAACCAGAAGCCCAGACAGACCAAAUACGAGUCAUGUGGCUGCAUCUUCUUUUAAAAAACACUUUUUUUCCCUGCACUUUUCACUUUUUGGCAAUUAUUUUGGGGCCAUAGGCAACCAGACUCAAAAUUUCACCACCAGUGUUGACAGUACUCCAGAGGCCAAAGAUGAGGGUGUUAGUACAUAUUUAUUGGUCCCCUGCUCUGUGUGUCAGGCCUGCGAGGGGGGUGAGGAGGGGUGCUUGGCUCAGGAAGCUUUUAAUCUGGUGGGGAAGACAGAACAGCCCAUGGGUGGUGGGUGAGAAUUCACUUCCCCAGCAGGAGCCGGGAAGAGAGACGUGCUCUGUCCUCCAUCCCUCUGUCCCACAGGCAGUCUGCACCCCCAGUCUGAUGACUGAAGCUUCUCCUGUGCGCUGAACCUGCCCCGGCGAAGAAGCCAUCGGAAAGGGCCGCGGGCCCGCCCUGCCCACCCCGGGGACCGCUAGGAGCGCGCGGUGGCUGUAGAUUUCCCCGGCCCUGGCGUCUGCACGAAGCGCCUGCGGGAGAGCGAAGCCCAGGCCCUGGGAUGGCAGCCAAGAGCGGCCAGGGCCUCGGAGGUCACCACGUCCACCCUCCAUCCCUCCGUGCAAAACGGAAAUUUAAGCUCAGUGUCCACCAGCUUCCGAGGCUGAGCCGUCAGAGGGUAUACAGCUUCGCCUCUUCUCUUGGGACACUCACACUUGGAGCCUGGCUGCCCUGCUGCAAGGACGCUCAGGCUGGUAGCCCUCGCAGAGAGACCACGUGGAGAGGCUGCGUGUUUGGGUUGCAGCCGAGAGCUCAGCUGAGGUCCCAGGCGCCGAGAGCAUGGACCUCAGCCAUGCGAGUGAAGCCGCCGCGUCUUCCCAGCCGAGGCCCCAGACAUGGUGGAGUGGAGACAAGCCAACCCCAUUAUGCUCUGUUUGAAUUCUUGGC